GUGAAUCAUCGAAUCUUUGAACGCACAUUGCGCCCCUUGGUAUUCCAUGGGGCAUGCCUGUUCGAGCGUCAUUUGUACCUUCAAGCUCUGCUUGGUGUUGGGUGUUUGUCUCGCCUUUGCGUGUAGACUCGCCUCAAAACGAUUGGCAGCCGGCGUAUUGAUUUCGGAGCGCAGUACAUCUCGCGCUUUGCACUCAUAACGACAGCGUCCAAAAAGUACAUUUUACACUCUUGACCUCGGAUCAGGUAGGGAUACCCGCUGAACUUAAGCAUAUCAAUAAGCGGAGGA
rnacentral:misc_RNA from 1 species